UCUAAAUCCCUUAAUGGUAUUUUAUUGGGUUGUUUUGUUUUUUUGGUUUUUUUUUUUUUUUUUGGUACCAGGGAUCCAACUCAGAACCUUGAGCUUUUGAGGCAGGCAGCGGAACCACUGAGCUAAAUCCCCAGCCCUCUUAAUGGUAUUUUAAGUGAACACGUUUUAAUUUGAAUGUUGAUCAACGUUUUCUUUUAUCAUUUGUGCUUUGUAUCCUGAUUUUUUUUCUUUGUAUCCUGCUUAAGAAAUCUUUGUGAUCUAAAGAUUAUGAAGAUUUUUCUUCCAAAGUCACAUUCUUUUUACGUUUUCCAUUUGGAUAUGUGACCCAUCUGAAAUUGAUGUGUGUAAGGUAGGGUCAAGAUUCCUUUUUCCAAAUUAAGACAUGUUAUGUACAUGUACCAGCUCCUCACAAGGAACGUAAGCAUUAUGUCAUACAAACGAGCACUAAAAAAAGAAUAUAAUGAGGCACUCUAAAAUGGUUAAAACAGCAAAUAAUCAUGUAUAUUUUAUCACAAAAAUAUCACAAGUAGCCCACAGAGUCAUUGUAAAGUUUAAAAGACAAUAUAAGGCGCUAACACCUACAAAUGCUCAGAAAAUGUUGGCUAUCAUUGCCCUCAUUUUGCCCCUCUUCCUCCUCAUCAUGAGGUUUUCCCAUUCAGAAAGGGAUCUUAUCUCAGAGGGCUAUCAAUCCUCCAACUGCCUAGAAAGAGGGCCUUGGUCUGGCCUUACAAAUAGGAUACAUAUUGUGAACCUUGAGACUAACUGGAUACAUUUUCAAGGCUAACAGAGAGGACAUAACAGAAUACCUGUUGUGAAUACUAAAGCUAACAGGAUAAACAUAUAUAUUUUGUGGUGGCUUACACUGUGAUUAUAUAAAGUAUCACUCAUUGGGAGGGUUUGUGGAUCUGCCUGUUUCUGGAUAAGGCCUGUGAGAAUUCUUAAGGCUUAAAGACCUGAAAGUUGAAAACUUUUUUUUUUUUUUGAGACGGUCUUGCUGUGUGGUUCAGGCUGGCCCUGAACUCACUAUGUAGCCCAGGCUGGCCUUGAACUUGUGGUGAUCCUCCUGCCUCUGCCUCCUGAGUGCUGGGAUUACAGGUGUGUGCCAGCAUGCCUGGCUAAAAGUUUAAAACUUUAGCAAUAAAACUUCCGAACUGAGAGGAAUGUUCAUUUCUUCUGUGAUCUUUCUUUCCUGCUCAUUUUUAAAAGUGCAUACCAAGCAUUGGGGUUAAAAUGGUCAGCAAGAUAGACAUGAUCUCUGACUUAUCAGAACAUAUUAGAAAAAGAGCUUACCACCUAGGAGGGGAGACUACUACCAGGCCUAUUGGUACAUACCUGUAGUCCCAGCACUAGGGAGGCUCAGGCAGGGGGAUUGCCGUGAGCUCAAAGCCAGCCUGGGCUACACAGUCAGUUCAAGGCCAGCGUGAACUACAUAACGAGACCCUAUCUCAAAAAUAAAUAAAUAAAUACAAACAACUACAACAUGGAACACAUCCUUUUCAGCCCGGAGGCUCAUGGGUAGGGAAGGUUAUCAGGAAGAGCGCAUCAGGAGGAAUAACUCUACACUGAGAAUGAAAGACUGAGUAGGGGUGAAUCAAGGGAAGAGUGGGAAGAGAAAAGAGAUUAAAGAGGACUGGGGAUUUAGCUCAGUGGUUUCGCUGCCUGCUGUGCAAGCGCAAGUACCUGAGUUUGAUCCCCGGUACCAAAAAACAAAAAAAAAAAGAGAUUAAAGAGAAAGGGAGAGAGAGAGAGGGAGGGAGAGAGGGAGAGAGACAGAAACUAUAUGGGAGAGAAGCUUUAGUUUAGCAGAAGUCCAAAGGAAACAGUGGGAGAUGGGUUGGGAAGAGAAAAGAGGCUCUCGUUACAGAAAGUAUUAUAGACAGGCUAAGUUAUGUAGAAAUUCAUAUGCCGUCAGAGAGGGACUGGGCUCUCAAGGAAGUCAGUGCAGAAGAUGAGCACACAUCAGAUCUGGCUGGAGGCACAUCUAAAGAAAGUGAGGCUUGCCAGGGAUUUAGCUCAGGGGUUUCACCGCCUGCUGCCCAAGCGCAAGAACCUGAGUUCAAUCCCCAGUACCAAAAAAAAAAAAAAAAAAAAGGAGAAUAAAGAAAGUGGGGCCUUGAGAUAAAGUCACAAAGGCUAGACUUGCAUACCUCCCUAAGGGAUGAAUGGAAACUGGAGAUUAUACUGUCAUUGGUACCACCCUGUCCAUUAAAUCCAGAUAUGCAUCAGACACCACAAUGGGUGACCACAACACCUGGACUCAUCCCUUCCCCAAAUUGUUCCUGGUUUAGAAGUCUUUUUUUUUUCUUUUUGGUACUGGGGAUCGAACUUGGGUCCCUGUGCUUGCAAGGCAGGUGGCAGAACCACUGAGCUAAAUCCCCGGCCCUAGAAGUCUUAAAGAAGCCAAGGUUAGUGAUUUCAGUUGUAUAACCUUGCUAUGUGCAUGCCCCACUUCCCUACUGGAUCAAUAUUAGCUAAGGGACUAUUCUCAUACUCUUAUUGGUUGAUUAUAGUUUGGUCCACAUUGUACCCAUCUUGUGAUUCUGUACCCACCUCGUGAUUUUGCACUAUAAAACAGUAUUGGAGAGGCAGGAAUUUAGCUCAGUGGUACUGUGCCUGUCUCACAAGUGCAAGGUCAUGAGUUCAAUCCCUGGUACUAAAAAAAAAAUUUCUUGGAGAAAUGACCUCUGUGGCAAUCCACCCCUCUGGAGCUAUUUCUCAAUAAAUCUUUCCUACUCUUUUUUUUUUUUUUUGAGACAGGGUCUCGCUAUAUAGUCCAGGCUGGUAUUGAACUCACUAUGCACCCCAGGCUGGCUUCGAACUUGCGGCGAUCCUCCUGCCUCAGCCUCCCAAGUGCUGGGAAUACAGUAGCUAUUUGUGGGUGUACAGUAACCCAACAAAAAUGUCUCCAGGAAUCGUCUCAGGCCCACUGGAUGGCACCACACAUCAGGGCCAUUGUCUCAACUCUGUAGCCCUUUGUCCUGGUUCACCGUCCCCUGUUCAGAGAAUUUCCUGGCAAAGAUGCAAAGAGCCACGGCUCAGCAGAUACAACUGUCCUGGACUCAGACUCUGAUGACUCCCCAUUUGUGAGAAGCAGAACAAUGGAAGAAGGCAUGGCCCUCGGGUAUUGCUCAAAUUCAGGACAAGAAGAACCUGGAAAGGAUCUCUAGAAGGGGCCCACAGCACUCCAGAACCCCAGUAAUAUUUUUGGCAAAGCCAGCCAGAAGAUGAGAAGAUCCUGGAAACUAACUCCAGACUCCUUGGACACCUUCUAUCCCCACUGGAUGUCUCAUCCUGCUCCUGAGAGAGGUCCCAGUGUAACCAGCUCCCUCUAGCUCUUGGGUCCUUGUUUGGGGGCAAUGAAAAUUGAAGCUGACAAAUCAGCAAACAGCAAGUGGUGGGGAAUGGUCAAAUGUGUGUUUAUUAGAAAAAAUAAAAGGUGGGCUGGGGAUUUAUUUAGCUCAGUGGUUCUGGCACCUGCCUUGUGAGCGCAAGGUCUGGAGUUCGAUCCCCAGUACCAAAAAAGAAAGAAAAAGAAGGAAAGAAAAAGAAAAAAUAAAAGGAAAAGCCCCCCAGUAGUCAGGGAGGGGUUCUGUAAGCCGGACACUGUAGAUGUUUAAAUCCAUUGGUGGCAGCUGCUGCUGCUACUUCUUCCUCUUUGUCUUGCUUCUACUUCCUCCUCUUCCUCUUUUUUUUUUUUUUUUUUUGGUACCGGGGAUCGAACUCAGAUCCUUGCACUUGCAAGGCAGGCAGUGGAACCACUGAGCUAAAUCCCCAGCCCUCUCUUCCUCUUCUUUGUUGUUGUUGCUGUUUUGUGUUUUGAGACAGGUCUCAUUAUGUAGUCCAGGCUAGCCUCGAACCCACAGUGACCUGCCUCAGGCUCCUGAGUGCUGGGAUUACAGGCAUGGGCCACUACACCUGAUGAAAUCAAGGAAGCUUUUGAUUGUACAAUCUAGAUCUAAUGCCAGUUUGAGGAAUGGGAAAUAUAAUAGAUUGUGGCCAUUAACCCUGUCACCCCUGUGCUUGCUUUCUUCAAUGGCCUGCUCUUACUCUGCGUUGCAUACUUCUUUUCCUACUUUAAUUGGCCCACACUUACUCUAAAGAACAUAUUUCUCUUGCUACCUUUAAUAAAUAUAAAACUUUGCUACCUUUUACACACCUUGACCAAUUCUUUGUUCAGGACAAGAACCUGAAAAGGGUCUCUAGAAGGAGCCUAUAGCAGGCCAGAACUCUGUUCACAGACACAUGGUUUGCUCUCAGUUCCAGUACAGACACAGAAUGCAAUAGACUUUCUCAACCAUGCCUGCCCCACAAGCUCAAGGACCCGAGUUCGAUUCCCAGUACCAAAAAAAAAAGAAAUAGACUUUCUUAAACAUAUGCCCUACGAACCUGUGUGUCAGUUGGUUUGGGUAGUAUUUUGGCUUAGGUAGGAGGUGGUUUAUAUACUUGGGAGUAGAAUUGCUGGGUUAUAAGACAAACACAAAUAUACAUAAUUUGAUUAAAUACAUUUAAAAGACCUACCAGAGAAAUUAUACCUGCAUUAACAAUUUAUGAAAAAUCUUAUUUCUACCACAUCCUCACCAGCCCUUUGAAUUAUCUUGAGUUUCUAACUUGAAGCUGUAUUACAGACAUAAAAUAUUACCUUGUUGUGUUAAUUUGGGUUUCUCUGAUUAGCAGGUCAGAGUUCAUACAGUUUUCACGCUAGAGUCUGUAGUGUUUGUGGGAGAAGAGAAAGAUGUCUCCCAUUCUCUGAGACACCAGUGAAAUGUGUCAGUUGCAUGCUCCCCUUCACUGCCCAAAGCUCGCUGCUCCCUCCUGGAUUCUUGCUUUGUACUUAAGGUUCAAAGUGAUUUCAAAGGUCUUUACGUGGCAACACUUUUUAAGCCUUGAAUAAAUACUUAUUUCAUUCUAGUGUUUACAUGGCAGGAUAGCUAUAGAUGGAAAUCCUAGUUUCAAAGUUCUUUGACUUCAAGCCUUGAAAAUAAUUUUACGUGAAUUUAUGGUUUCCUAAAUACAGUAAUACAUUGCUUUGUUUUGCUAAUUUAUUGUCCAGUUUUUCUCAGUAAAUAAGAAUAGGAGCAACUUGUCUUCUGAAAAUUGUUGUCUUCUUUCUUUUUUUUAUUUUUGUACCAGGGAUCGAACUCAGGAUCUUGCGCUUUCAAGGGAGGUGCCAGAACCACUGAGCUAAAUCCCCGGCCCUGAAACUUGUCUUCACUCAAUAUUAUAGUUCUAGUUUCAUCUAUUUUGUCACCUGUGGCUGUACAUAAUUCUAUUUCCUUCUGCAUAAUAUUCUACUUUUUAGGUAUAUUUGGGGGCUGGGUAUUUGGCUCAGGGGAAGAGGGCAGGUUUAGCAUGUGUGAGGGCCUGGUUCAAACCCCAGUACUAGCCUCCAGAUUACAAUGUAUCCAUUAUCCUGGUGACAAUAGACUAUUUCAUUUUUGUCUUUGAAAGACUAUUGCUAAAUGUAUUUUAUAUGUAUCUCUUAAUGGACACACACAAAAAAGUGUGGAGUAGAAAUGCUAGGUCAUAAAAUUUCCACAUCUUGGCUGUGGUGGCACACGCCUGUAAUCCCAGUACUUGGGAGGCAGAGACAGGAGGAUCACUGCAAAUUCAAGGCCAGCCUGGGCUACAUAGUGAGUUCAAGGCCAGCCUGCAUUACAGAGCAAGACUGUCUCAAAAAACAAAAAGAAAAUGUGCACAUCUUUAAUUGUAUUUGAUAAUACCAGCUUGUUUUCCAAAGGGUUCGUUCCACUUUACUCUCCUGCCAGCUGUAUAUAAGAAUUCUGGUUGACCCUCAUCCUUGAUGACACUUUGUAUUAUUAGGGCUCCUAACUUUGAAGAACAUAAUGGAUGGAAAUUGAUACAGGUACUUCUGGAUCUUAAUUUGCAUUUUCCAAUUAACUACAGGAAAUGAGCAUCUUAUCACUUUAUGGCUGGUUCUUCUAGGAAAUGUCAGUUCAAAUCUUUGCCCAUUUGUCUAUUGGGUUUUUUCUUGUUUGUAAUUUCUUUUUAAAAAACUAUUCUAAGGCCUCAGAUAUAGCUCAGUGGCAUAGUGCCUGCCUGCCUACCUGUCAAGCAGAAGGUCUUGAGUUUGAUCCUGGUAAAAACAAACAAAAAACAACCUCUAAACAAGCACUUGGGAGGCUGAGGCAGGAGGAUGGACACCAAUUUGAGGCCAGUUGAAGCUUCUUAGUGAGUUCAAGGCCAGUUGAACUACAUACCCAGACCCUAUCUCAAAACAAAUAAAGGGGAAGAGGAAGUGGGAAGGAUAGGGGAAAGAGGGGAAUGGAAUUAAUAUGAGAAAAUGAAAAAAUGGAAACAGUCUUUGUAAACAGG
rnacentral:lncRNA from 1 species